rnacentral:rRNA from 1 species
UUCGGAAUAACAGUUGGAAACGACUGUUAAUACCGGAUGACGACGUAAGUCCAAAGAUUUAUCGCCGAGGGAUGAGCCCGCGUAGGAUUAGCUAGUUGGUGUGGUAAGAGCGCACCAAGGCGACGAUCCUUAGCUGGUCUGAGAGGAUGAUCAGCCACACUGGGACUGAGACACGGCCCAGACUCCUACGGGAGGCAGCAGUGGGGAAUAUUGGACAAUGGGCGAAAGCCUGAUCCAGCAAUGCCGCGUGAGUGAUGAAGGCCUUAGGGUUGUAAAGCUCUUUUACCCGGGAUGAUAAUGACAGUACCGGGAGAAUAACUCCGGCUAACUCCGUGCC